AUGUUUCUUCCUGCAUAUUCUUCGAUUGUCCUUUGCCUCUGUCUUCAUGUGUUUUCUUGGUAUGUGUUCUUGCUCUUCUUGCUCUUUUCUUUACUAAGGUUUGUAUUUUUUUCUCUUCUUGCUCUAUUGCUCUGUUGUGUUCUUCUCUUCCUCCUUUGUUCUGUACUUCUGUUUUGUACCACUCUUUGCUCUGUUUAUAUUUAUUUUCAAGUAAUUCGUUGUUCUGUUUUAAGUUUAUUCUUUUUAUUUUUAUUUUUUAAAGUUAGUUCUUCUCAGUUUAAGUUAGUAUUUUUAUGGACUUUAGGUUUUGUUUGGUUACAUGUUGAACUUUAUUUUGAUGGUAUAUCAUUUUAA